rnacentral:tRNA from 1 species
UCCCUGGUAGCUCAGAUGGUAAAGCGUCUGCCUACAAUGCGGGAUACCCAGCUUUGAUUCCUGGGUAGGGAA